rnacentral:rRNA from 1 species
AAAACUUUCAACAACGGAUCUCUUGGUUCUGGCAUCGAUGAAGAACGCAGCAAAAUGCGAUAAGUAAUGUGAAUUGCAGAAUUCAGUGAAUCAUCGAAUCUUUGAACGCACAUUGCGCCCGCCAGUAUUCUGGCGGGCAUGCCUGUUCGAGCGUCAUUUCAACCCUCAAGCACAGCUUGGUGUUGGGACUCGCGUUAAUUCGCGUUCCUCAAAUUGAUUGGCGGUCACGUCGAGCUUCCAUAGCGUAGUAGUAAAACCCUCGUUACUGGUAAUCGUCGCGGCCACGCCGUUAAACCCCAACUUCUGAAUGUUGACCUCGGAUCAGGUAGGAAUACCCGCUGAACUUAAGCAUAUCAAUAAGCGGAGGAAAAGAAACCAACAGGGAUUGCCCUAGUAACGGCGAGUGAAGCGGCAACAGCUCAAAUUUGAAAUCUGGCUCUCGGGCCCGAGUUGUAAUUUGUAGAGGAUACUUUUGAUGCGGUGCCUUCCGAGUUCCCUGGAACGGGACGCCAUAGAGGGUGAGAGCCCCGUCUGGUUGGAUGCCAAAUCUCUGUAAAGUUCCUUCAACGAGUCGAGUAGUUUGGGAAUGCUGCUCUAAAUGGGAGGUAUAUGUCUUCUAAAGCUAAAUACCGGCCAGAGACCGAUAGCGCACAAGUAGAGUGAUCGAAAGAUGAAAAGAACUUUGAAAAGAGAGUUAAAAAGUACGUGAAAUUGUUGAAAGGGAAGCGCUUGUGACCAGACUUGGGCUUGGUUGAUCAUCCGGGGUUCUCCCCGGUGCACUCUUCCGGCUCAGGCCAGCAUCAGUUCGCCCUGGGGGAUAAAGGCUUCGGGAAUGUGGCUCUCUCCGGGGAGUGUUAUAGCCCGCUGCGUAAUACCCUGUGGCGGACUGAGGUUCGCGCAUUCGCAAGGAUGCUGGCGUAAUGGUCAUCAGUGACCCGUCUUGAAACACGGACC